rnacentral:rRNA from 1 species
ACGGCGGACGGGUGGGUAACGCGUGGGUAACCUACCCUGUACACACGGAUAACAUACCGAAAGGUAAUGCUAAUACGGGAUAAUAUAUUUGAGAGGCAUCUCUUGAAUAUCAAAGGUGAGCCAGUACAGGAUGGACCCGCGUCUGAUUAGCUAGUUGGUAAGGUAACGGCUUACCAAGGCGACGAUCAGUAGCCGACCUGAGAGGGUGAUCGGCCACAUUGGAACUGAGACACGGUCCAA